rnacentral:rRNA from 1 species
GGAUUAGAUACCCUGGUAGUCCACGCCGUAAACGAUGUCAACUAGCCGUUGGGGUACUUGAUACUUUAGUGGCGCAGCUAACGCGAUAAGUUGACCGCCUGGGGAGUACGGUCGCAAGAUUAAAACUCAAAUGAAUUGACGGGGGCCCGCACAAGCGGUGGAGCAUGUGGUUUAAUUCGAAGCAACGCGAAGAACCUUACCUACUCUUGACAUCCUGCGAACUUGCUAGAGAUAGCUUGGUGCCUUCGGGAACGCAGUGACAGGUGCUGCAUGGCUGUCGUCAGCUCGUGCCG